GGGAAAUAUUUCCGUUACCGUAGAGACAGAUUAAGGCAAUGUGAAGAAAAUAGGUGUAUAGAGGGAAACUGAAUUUACUGUUGAGUGCUGUAUCAUUUUAAAAUAAAUCAGGAGAAUAAUGCAUUGUUCAGGGGUAAAAAAAAAAGAAGUGCUGUAGCGGUCUUCAUCACUAAGUGAAUUGCUCUACAGCACUUCAUUAAAACCUGACCUGGCCAAGUAGUCAAACUUGUCCACAUCAACGCCGUUUUUUUUGUUGGACACAAUUUCGUAGAGGAAGGACUUUUCUUCUUUACGCCCUUUGUACGGCCACUGCAGGGAUGACGACACAAAGCGAAUCAGGACAAGUUUUAUUGACACGUAUGUUGUUG